UGGGGAAUUUUGGACAAUGGGCGAAAGCCUGAUCCAGCAACGCCGCGUGUGUGAAGAAGGCCUUCGGGUUGUAAAGCACUUUUGUCCGGAAAGAAAUCCUUGGCUCUAAUACAGUCGGGGGAUGACGGUACCGGAAGAAUAAGCACCGGCUAACUACGUGCCAGCAGCCGCGGUAAUACGUAGGGUGCAAGCGUUAAUCGGAAUUACUGGGCGUAAGCGUGCGCAGGCGGUUUGCUAAGACCGAUGUGAAAUCCCCGGGCUCAACCUGGGAACUGCAUUGGUGACUGGCAGGCUAGAGUGUGGCAGAGGGGGGUAGAAUUCCACGUGUAGCAGUGAAAUGCGUAGAGAUGUGGAGGAAUACCGAUGGCGAAGGCAGCCCCCUGGGCCAAUACUGACGCUCAUGCACGAAAGCGUGGGGAGCAAACAGGAUUAGAUACCCUGGUAGUCCACGCCCUAAACGAUGUCACUAGUUGUUGGGGAUUCAUUUCCUAGUAACGUAGCUAACGCGUGAAGUUGACCGCCUGGGGAGUAC
rnacentral:rRNA from 1 species